rnacentral:rRNA from 1 species
AGAGUUUGAUCAUGGCUCAGGACGAACGCUGGCGGCGUGCCUAACACAUGCAAGUCGAACGGAGUUAAGCCUUUCGGGACUUAACUUAGUGGCGAACGGGGAGUAACGCGUGAGCAACCUACCUUUCAGUGGGGGACAACAGUUGGAAGCGACUGCUAAUACCGCAUGAAACUUAUCGGGGGCAUCCCUGAAAAGUCAAAGCUUUAUGUGCUGAAAGAUGGGCUCGCGUCUGAUUAGCUGGAUGGCGGGGUAACGGCCCACCAUGGCGACGAUCAGUAGCCGGUCUGAGAGGAUGAACGGCCACAUUGGGACUGAGAUACGGCCCAGACUCCUACGGGAGGCAGCAGUGGGGAAUAUUGGGCAAUGGGGGAAACCCUGACCCAGCAACGCCGCGUGAGGAAGAAGGCCUUCGGGUUGUAAACUUCUUUUACCAGGGACGAAGGACGUGACGGUACCUGGAGAAAAAGCAACGGCUAACUACGUGCCAGCAGCCGCGGUAAUACGUAGGUUGCAAGCGUUGUCCGGAUUUACUGGGUGUAAAGGGCGUGUAGGCGGAGGAGCAAGUCAGAUGUGAAAUCCCGGGGCUCAACCCCGGAACUGCAUUUGAAACUGUUUCCCUUGAGUAUCGGAGAGGCAAGCGGAAUUCCUAGUGUAGCGGUGAAAUGCGUAGAUAUUAGGAGGAACACCAGUGGCGAAGGCGGCUUGCUGGACGACAACUGACGCUGAGGCGCGAAAGCGUGGGGAGCAAACAGGAUUAGAUACCCUGGUAGUCCACGCUGUAAACGAUGAAUACUAGGUGU